GUGCCUAAUACAUGCAAGUCGAACGCACUGACGUCGACAGAAGGUGCUUGCACUGGAAGUUGAUUGACGUGAGUGGCGGACGGGUGAGUAACACGUGGGUAACCUGCCCUUAAGCGGGGGAUAACAUUUGGAAACAGAUGCUAAUACCGCAUAAAAGUUGAGAUCACAUGGUCUUAAUUUGAAAGACGGCCUUUGGCUGUCACUUAAGGAUGGACCCGCGGCGUAUUAGCUAGUUGGUGAGAUAAUAGCCCACCAAGGCGACGAUACGUAGCCGACCUGAGAGGGUAAUCGGCCACAUUGGGACUGAGACACGGCCCAAACUCCUACGGGAGGCAGCAGUAGGGAAUCUUCCACAAUGGACGAAAGUCUGAUGGAGCAACGCCGCGUGAGUGAAGAAGGUUUUCGGAUCGUAAAACUCUGUUGUUGGAGAAGAACAGGGACUAGAGUAACUGUUAGUCCUUUGACGGUAUCCAACCAGAAAGCCACGGCUAACUACGUGCCAGCAGCCGCGGUAAUACGUAGGUGGCAAGCGUUGUCCGGAUUUAUUGGGCGUAAAGCGAGCGCAGGCGGUUUCUUAAGUCUGAUGUGAAAGCCUUCGGCUUAACCGAAGAAGUGCAUCAGAUACUGGGAAACUUGAGUGCAGAAGAGGAAAGUGGAACUCCAUGUGUAGCGGUGAAAUGCGUAGAUAUAUGGAAGAACACCAGUGGCGAAGGCGGCUUUCUGGUCUGUAACUGACGCUGAGGCUCGAAAGUAUGGGGAGCGAACAGGAUUAGAUACCCUGGUAGUCCAUACCGUAAACGAUGAAUGCUAAGUGUUGGAGGGUUUCCGCCCUUCAGUGCUGCAGCUAACGCAUUAAGCAUUCCGCCUGGGGAGUACGACCGCAAGGUUGAAACUCAAAGGAAUUGACGGGGGCCCGCACAAGCGGUGGAGCAUGUGGUUUAAUUCGAAGCUACGCGAAGAACCUUACCAGGUCUUGACAUCUAGCGCCAAUCCUAGAGAUAGGACGUUCCCUUCGGGGACGCUAAGACAGGUGGUGCAUGGUUGUCGUCAGCUCGUGUCGUGAGAUGUUGGGUUAAGUCCCGCAACGAGCGCAACCCUUAUGAUUAGUUGCCAGCAUUUAGUUGGGC
rnacentral:rRNA from 1 species